AUCGUUCAUCUUUGCUUGCAAAGACGGAAGUAGACAAAAGUUGAAGGAACGCGCC
rnacentral:ncRNA from 10 species